AGUUUUCAGAUGAUGCAGACCAUGCUUCCGAAGUCACUGAGAGCCAUGAAGUUCUACUUCACAACUGUGUAUCAAGAAAUAUGGGUUGGUGUAGCAAUAACAGCUUAUGCUUAUUACAAAAUUUCAUAUGGUGGCAAAAAAGCUGUGGCAGAUAAGUCCUCUGGUGCUGGCCAUCAUUAAAGACCUCUUCUCUUCUUGGAGUAUGAAUUUGGUGGUUCGUCAUCUUUACUGUAAAUGAAGCAAGUUACAACCAUAGGGAAAUUAAUUCUAAAACUGCAUCUGAUCCAUCUGCUGUAAUUAGAGAAAGAAUAAAUCCGUUGAGCAACAAGGAAUUAAACAUGUUGGACAAAAUGCUAAUUGAAAAGCAAAAGGAGCUUCUGCUAACCUGCCC